AUGAUAGUCACAUUGACAAGUGGCUACAACAUUGAUUAAGCAGUUCCAUUUGUUGAGUGGGGCUGGACAGGCCAUAGCCCAGAACAAUCGCAGAAUCGACUGCUGGAAGAUUUACAUUUGCACGUGGCAACACAUUUGGUAAAGUAAUUCUUCAAAGCGUCAACAUUUUCUUUCUGUAUGGCGUGGCAAUUGUAGGUUAGAUUAAGGGCGGGACUAGGUGUAAUCAAUGUCGUUCUCAAGGAUAAUACAGCUACUGCGACAUAGCCGAUUUAGACGGGAUGUUAUUUAUAGACACUUUUCGGGGUUGCUUUACCCAUUUCUACUUGCUUUGGUCAACUCAAGUUGGGUCGAAGCUACAAAAUUUACGAGGAAUAAGUUACUUUAAAGGCGAAUUCGAGAAUUCUCGCGGUUGACAUUCAGGUACCUCACAUGCUUUGGCUCUGUUGCAGGUAUUUUUUAAGCUUUAUGGUUUUCUAGAUUUAUUUUCAUUCAGAUGUUAGUUGUUUGUCUCAUAGUUUUAGCAUAGGAAAGAAACUAAAUAUAAACAAAAGACACUUAAUUUUUGUACCAGCCAAAUCUUUCACCCCCUACACCCUACUUUUUUUGCAUGUUUACAUGGGGUGGCAUGGCACGCUGGUGGGUUGUGUAACCGGUCAAAAAAGUUUGUGUGAAAAAUGAGUAGCUUUAGUAGGUGUUGUGUCAGCUCGAAGUGGUACGUAAUUUCACAAAUCAUAAGGAAAAAAUAUCCAGUUUUCAACUGAAGAAAAUAGUUUUCAUAUCAUGGACUGAAAAUUGCAGUUGAUACAUAACCAGUUUGGCUUGCCGUUUUCAACAGUUUGGGAUGAGCUUUGCACACUUCUACUUCGUUUGCAUGG